AAUAGAUACCCGGGUAGUCCACGCCGUAAACGAUGAGUGCUAAGUGUUAGAGGGUUUCCGCCCUUUAGUGCUGCAGCAAACGCAUUAAGCACUCCGCCUGGGGAGUACGGUCGCAAGACUGAAACUCAAAGGAAUUGACGGGGGCCCGCACAAGCGGUGGAGCAUGCGGUUUAAUUCGAAGCAACGCGAAGAACCUUACCAGGUCUUAGACAUCCUCUGACAACCCUAAAGAUAGGGGCUUCCCCUUCGGGGGCAGAGUGACAGGUGGUGCAUGGUUGUCGUCAGCUCGUGUCGUGAGAUGUUGGGUUAAGUCCCGCAACGAGCGCAACCCUUGAUCUUAGUUGCCAGCAUUCAGUUGGGCACUCUAAGGUGACUGCCGGUGACAAACCGGAGGAAGGUGGGGAUGACGUCAAAUCAUCAUGCCCCUUAUGACCUGGGCUACACACGUGCUACAAUGGGCAGAACAAAGGGCAGCGAAGCCGCGAGGCUAAGCCAAUCCCACAAAUCUGUUCUCAGUUCGGAUCGC
rnacentral:rRNA from 1 species